UAAUGAGCAAGAAGAGGUUAUCAGUUAAUCAAACAGUAUUUACAGUAUCUGCAAGAGAACGCAGUAUGCAACCCAAGCCAGCUUUUUCUGUCAACUUCUCAUGAAUCCUCAAACACUGGUCGCAUGUUGGACGGUCACCAGUGGACAAGCCUCUGUAAAGAUACCUGAAAAUAAUAGCGCAGUCAAUGAUUGUCAAAAAGAUAGCAAAAAUUUACAAGUGCCACACCACUGGGGAGAUGGACAAAGCACCAACUAGGCAAAAGGAUUUCCCUGCUUACAUUUGUUCUCUCUACCAUCUUUAACUGGGAAGAUAGCUAAAGGCUUGUGGAGAAGACAGAGCAAGUAUUCCAUCUUUUUUUUUCUUCUUCAAAAAUCAGAUACAAGCCAAGGUGGAGAAUUGUCGGGUGAAGAGCUGUGUUGGUCAGUGGCAGGUGGAGUUCCAUUCUAUACCAUGACUCUUGCAGAUCUUCCUCAAACUUUGCUGCAAAUGAUUUGAUAUUCUGAACGAAUUUUAGUCAAGGUCAGCUAUAAAUAGCGCCUUAUGAAGGCCUCAAUCUACACAAAAAACAUAGAAAGUUCAAACUGGUACAAGUUCACACUUCAAUAUUUUUGAGUUUUCUCAUGUUUUGCUCUCUUUUUUUUUUGGCUUUUGGAGAAUUUUUCCAAGCUUUAUGUUCUUCUUCAUAGUAGUGAUGUUUCAUCCUUCACCCAUGGACAUAGGUCUCAUUGACUGAAUAACAAAAAUCUUAUUGCCUC